rnacentral:rRNA from 1 species
GACGAACGCUGGCGGCGUGCUUAACACAUGCAAGUCGAGCGGUAAGGCCCUUUCGGGGGCACACGAGCGGCGAACGGGUGAGUAACACGUGGGUGACCUGCCCUCAGCUCUGGGAUAAGCCUGGGAAACCGGGUCUAAUACCGGAUAUGACUCCAUGACGCAUGUUGUGGGGUGGAAAGCCUUGUGCGGCUGAGGAUGGGCCCGCGGCCUAUCAGCUUGUUGGGGGGUGAUGGCCUACCAAGGCGACGACGGGUAGCCGGCCUGAGAGGGCGACCGGCCACACUGGGACUGAGACACGGCCCAGACUCCUACGGGAGGCAGCAGUGGGGAAUCUUGCGCAAUGGGCGAAAGCCUGACGCAGCGACGCCGCGUGAGGGAUGACGG